GACACGUGAUGCAAGGGGUAUUUUUGCCCUCCUAAGGGGCAGGUCGCAGGUUCGAAUCCUGCCCGGGGCACCA
rnacentral:tRNA from 1 species